UAUCUCUGUAGAGUCUGCAUAUCAAUAAGCGGAGGAAAAGAAACUAACUAGGAUUCCCUCAGUAACGGCGAGUGAAGCGGGAAGAGCUCAAAUUUGAAAUCUUCAAGGUUCUACCUUGACGAAUUGUAGUUUAAAGAAGUGUUUUCUGUUGGAGUUUUGGUAAAAGUUCUUUGGAAUAGGACAUCAUAGAGGGUGAGAAUCCCGUAUUUGACCAUUAUUUCCAGCUUUGUGAUACACUUUCAAAGAGUCGGAUUGUUUGGGAAUGCAGUCCAAAAUGGGUGGUAAAUUUCAUCUAAAGCUAAAUACUGGCGAGAGACCGAUAGCGAACAAGUACCGUGAGGGAAAGAUGAAAAGAACUUUGAAAAGAGAGUUAAACAGUACGUGAAAUUGUCAAAAGGGAAGCGUUUGGCACCAGUGUUGUUUUCUCGAAAAUCAAUUAAAAAAAGUUGGAUUUUGUAUUGUUAAGACCUUAUCAGCUUACUGUACUCUUUUCUUGCUUUUUUUAAUGCACUUUUCGUUUAACAAGUCAACAUCAAUUUCUUUUGUUGUAAAAGAGUCAUUGGAAGGUGGCUUUCACUUCGGUGAAAGUGUUUAUAGCCUUUGGCUUCUGCAAUCGGAGAGAUUGAGGUCUGCAGCGUAGAUCCUUCGGGGCUAGAUACGUAGAUGCUAAGUUAUAGUUUUUUAUAGACAACUUGUUGACUAUAAUUAAUCAUGUAGCUUACUCGUUUGCGCUAUUUUACCUACGCUUAGGAUGUUGAAGAUGUAGCACAUCAU
rnacentral:rRNA from 1 species